ACCCUUGCUGCAGGGUAGGGGGCCAAAGGGGGGUCUCGCGCACGCGCGCGCGCGGGAGAUCGAGGCGCCCGCGCUAGGUUAGUGCGAGACCCCGCCGGCUUGAGGCGGGGGCUGAGCGCGGGCCAAGUCCAAGUGCGCAAGCCCAGAUCUUGGCGCGCCCCUGAGGAGUUUCUGUGGGAAGAUUUUCUGUUUUCCAGGUUUCCCAAGGGAAACGAAGAAAGAGAGUGGGAGAAUCGAUGACUGGACCUCUAAUAGAUGUUGGACGACUUAAAAAAAAAAAAAAAAAGUAUCGGCCCUACCCUCGAGGAUUUGACAAAUUAAGCUGGCCAGAGUGAUAAGAGAUACAGGCAGAAGAGGAGACAUAGAGGGGAAGGUGACAUGAAAAGGGAGGCAGAGAUCACAGUGAUGUGGCUAUAAGCCAAGGAAUACCAAAGCCAUCAGAAGCUGGAAGAGGACAGCACUGAAUUUGUGCCUCACAAUUGUUGUGCUGUCCCUUCCCCAAUGCCCAGAGAUGCUCCACUCCACACUGCUGCUGGGGAGUUGGGGAGAGGUAGUGUCAGUGAUUCAAGAUUUUCUUCCACCUCUGCCAUCUCUGAGACAACAAGACCAACCCCUUCUCUUCCUCCUCCUCAGCCUACUCAACAUGAAGACAAGGAUGAAGAUCUUUAUGAUGAUCCAUUUCCACUUAAUGAGUAGUAAAUACA